rnacentral:rRNA from 1 species
CCCUUAGAUGUCCGGGGCCGCACGCGCGCUACACUGAAGGAAUCAGCGUGGCUUUCUCCCUGACCCGAAAGGGUUGGGAAACCCGUUGAAUCUCCUUCGUGAUAGGGAUUGGGGCUUGAAAUUGUUCCCCAUGAACGAGGAAUUCCCAGUAAGCGCGAGUCAUAAGCUCGCGUUGAUUACGUCCCUGCCCUUUGUACACACGGCCCGUCGCUACUACCGAUUGAACGGUUUAGUGAGGGCCUCGGAUUGGUCUCGGCCCGCUCUUUACCGGGCGGCGCCGUUGGUCGAGAAGACGCUCGAACUUGAUCGUUUAGAGGAAGUAAAAGUCGUAACA